AGAGAGAGACAUGCGCGCAUAUCAAUAAGCGGAGGAAAAGAAACUAACAAGGAUUCCCUUAGUAACGGCGAGUGAAGCGGGAAGAGCUCAAAUUUGAAAUCUUCAAGGUUCUACCUUGACGAAUUGUAGUUUAUAGAAGUGUUUUCUGUUAGUGGAGUGGCAAAAGUUCUUUGGAAUAGGACAUCAUAGAGGGUGAGAAUCCCGUAUUUGGUCAUUCCUCCUAGCGUUGUGAUACACUUUCAACGAGUCGGAUUGUUUGGGAAUGCAGUCCAAAAUGGGUGGUAAAUUUCAUCUAAAGCUAAAUAUUGGCGAGAGACUGAUAGCGAACAAGUACCGUGAGGGAAAGAUGAAAAGAACUUUGAAAAGAGAGUUAAACAGUACGUGAAAUUGUCAAAAGGGAAGCGUUUGACACCAGUGUUGUUUUUCCGAAAAUCAAUUACGAAUGUUUUAUUUUUGAGGAGUUAUGACUUCAUCGGCUUGCUCCUUUCUUUACGAAACUUUCUUAAUGCACUUUUCGGUUAACAAGUUAACAUCAAUUUCUUUUGUUGUAAAAGGGUAUGAGGAAGGUGGCUUUCUUUUCGGAGAAAGUGUUUAUAGCCUUUGGCCUCUGCAAUCGGAGAGAUUGAGGUCUGCAGCGUAGAUCCUUCGGGGUUAGAUACGUUUGUGCUAAGUUAUAGCCUUUUCAUAGACAACUUGUUGACUAUGAUUCAGUCAUGUAGCUUACUCGCUGACGCUAUUUUACCUACGCUUAGGAUGUUGAUAGUCACAGCGUGUA
rnacentral:rRNA from 1 species